AAGUCGUAACAAGGUUUCCGUAGGUGAACCUGCGGAAGGAUCAUUAUUGAAUUGUCGAAUGGGGUUGUUGCUGGCCUCUAGGCAUGUGUACGCCCUUCUCACAUCCAUUCACACCUGUGCACUUUUUGUAGUUCGGAGUGGGAGGUUCCUCUGAGGUCCCUCACAGUCCGGCGCUACGUUUCUCCUACAAACACUAUCUGUAUAGAAUGUCAACUCGGCGUGUAUAAACGCAGAAUGUGAAACAACUUUCAGCAACGGAUCUCUUGGCUCUC
rnacentral:misc_RNA from 1 species